UACGUAGGGUGCGAGCGUUAAUCGGAAUUAUUGGGCGUAAAGGGCGCGUAGGCGGCCUGGCAAGUGACGGGUGAAAGCCCUCGGCUCAACCGAGGAACUGCCUGUCAUACUGCCGGGCUUGAGUCCGGGAGAGGUGAGUGGAAUUCCCAGUGUAGCGGUGAAAUGCGUAGAUAUUGGGAGGAACACCAGUGGCGAAGGCGGCUCACUGGACCGGAACUGACGCUGAGGCGCGAAAGCGUGGGGAGCAAACAGG
rnacentral:rRNA from 1 species